rnacentral:rRNA from 1 species
GACAGAGGGUGCGAACGUUGCUCGGAAUUACUGGGCGUAAAGCGCGUGCAGGUGGCCCCGCACGUCCGGUGUGAAAGCCCGGGGCUCAACCCCGGAAGCGCGCUAGAUACGACGGGGCUCGAGGGCUGGAGAGGUCGGCGGAAUUCCCGGUGUAGAGGUGAAAUUCGUAGAUAUCGGGAGGAACACCGGUGGCGAAGGCGGCCGACUGGACAGCGCCUGACACUGGGACGCGAAAGCGUGGGUAGCAAACAGG